ACGAACAAUUAAGGCUAUGGGAGAAACAAUUGAAAAACAACAGAUUCUUAUGUUAACAUUGCUUUCUAUUGUGAAUGUAUUAUACAGAAUUUUUAAAAUUUAAUUCUUUAUAGUGAUUACAAUAGGUUUACAUUAGAUUCCAUGGUUACAUAGCCAAAAAAUAGAUUAACAUUUCAAUUCAUUGUUAUUUUUGGAUUCAGCGUUCAAACCAUUAGUUUACAAUAGAAUGUAUCAGUAACAUUGAAAUGUACCGUUUUUCAAUGGUCUGGACGUUUGAAAAAAAAACAGCUUUUGAGUAAUUCCGAAACAGUGUGUAUCGAUGACAGCCAAGUUUCGUUGAAAUCAGCUCGGUCGUCGGCGUUAAAAAAUUUCGAAGAGUAGUUUCGUGUGCGGAAAAAUGUGGAAAAUAAACGCUCAACUGCCUAAAUUUUCCGCACGGUAGUAAAUAUAGUGUGGUGCAGUGCUAAAUCCUUGGCUACAUCAUUCAACAGUAGCGGCAUUUCAACAGUCACAAGGACGUCAAGCCGGUGCAUAAGCAAUCAACCCAGAGCUUGUUCCGAUGAAUGCGCACGAUCUGGAUUGGUUCCUGCGGAGAGAAGAGGGCGAGGGCAAGGUGCACUGCGAAGAG